rnacentral:rRNA from 1 species
ACUUAAAGCGAUUCAGCGGGUUACGAUUGACGGAGCGAAGCGACGUCAAAGCGUAUACAAAGUCGAGUCGGUUUAAGGAUACGUUCGUUGGGUAGGGGAGCGUUCUGUAAGCCUGCGAAGGUGGCCUGUGAGGGUUGCUGGAGGUAUCAGAAGUGCGAAUGCUGACAUAAGUAACGAUAAAGCGGGUGAAAAGCCCGCUCGCCGGAAGACCAAGGGUUCCUGUCCAACGUUA